rnacentral:lncRNA from 1 species
ACUAACAUUUGGAGAAGUAGCGUAUUUUACUCAAAAUUUCAAAAAGACUGCUUUGAUUAUCACUUGUUUUCUUCUCAGCAUGUAGUGGGAUUCACCUUCUUGAAGAUAUGUUUCAGAUAGCUGUUUGUCCAAGGAGAAUGAGAGACAUGUGAAACCAACCUGAACUUAACCUAUAGUUUGGAGCCAAACCCAACAAACCCAGCCUAGGUCAGCUGAACUCCAGCCAACUGCAGAUACUGGUACCUCCAUCAAUGAACAGAAACUUCUUUAUAAAAUAUCUUGAAAAUGCUGUUAUGUCUCUCAUUAAAAGCCUUAUGACUUAGAGAGGGCAGAAAGUAUUAUCAUCUUUAUUUUACAGGAAAAAAAUGGAAACUGAGGAAAGCGACUUACUCAAGACUAGUCAGUGGAGCCAUAUUUCAAAAAUCAACUUUAAUCUUCAAGUUUUUCUUUCAAAACCUACUAUUUGUCAACUAUCUGCAUUAUGUAUAUGGUACAAGUUUCUGCACCAAAUCAACGACUGCUGUUAAAUCUAUACACACAACAAAAUAUUUAGUACAGUCAAAUAUACUUGGCUGCUCUAAAGAAUGCUGAGGUAUGCAAUGUUGUGGUGGUUGACAUGACCAUCCCAAAAUUAACUAUCAGUAUAAAUGAGGUUAUUGAAUUUUCCCCACAUUUCUAGCUUAACUGUUAAUAUUUAUCACACGACUGAGGAGUGCAUCUAAGAACUUACUUGAGGUCAGUCCUCUGGGAUCUGCUUAUUACAUUUAUUAAAAAUAUUGGAAAUGUAAUGCUCUGUUCUCAUGCUGCAAUAAAUUCUUUGUGCUGUUAAUCUGUAUGAAAAUAUUUGGGUUUCUAUUAACCUAACUGCAAGAUUUCAGCCUACAUUUUCUAUCUGAUUGGAAAUAAGUCAUGGGUUCAGAUGGAAUUUAUAUCUCAGAAAGGAGGUAGCUGUUGUUAAGAAGCAGAAAAAUGAAAAUAUCAUUCAUUCCAAAACAGUUCUCUAAAAUCACAUGCACACUCAAACAAUAGCCACUUUGCUUAUUUCAUUAUAAUGGCAAUAAGCUCCAAAGCUUUAAGAAGAAAGAUUUUCACUCUUGCAUUGAAAACUGAGGUGCAUUUGUGCAUUGAGAGAGAAGUAUAUUAUAUUUUCAAUGAGAAAAUUAUAGUUAUGUCACUCACUUUGCAGUGAAAAUUAGAAUAAAAUUAGAGGUAAUUUGAAAGUCUUUCAGGAAAAGUUAAUAUGAUGCUCAAAUAAUGUAGCCAUGCUUAGCGUCAAUCAGUGAAUAGCUUAUUUUCCUUAAUUAUAAUUUUUUAAAGUAAGAAAGAAAGCCCACUUAAUAUGUCUAUACAUAGUUUAGCAUUUAAUCAUACAUUUUUGUAAUU